rnacentral:rRNA from 1 species
GAUGAACGCUGGCGGCGUGCCUAAUACAUGCAAGUCGAGCGAACAGACGAGGAGCUUGCUCCUCUGACGUUAGCGGCGGACGGGUGAGUAACACGUGGAUAACCUACCUAUAAGACUGGGAUAACUUGGGGAAACCGGAGCUAAUACCGGAUAAAAUAUUGAACCGCAUGGUUCAAUAGUGAAAGACGGUUUUGCUGUCACUUAUAGAUGGAUCCGCGCCGCAUUAGAUAGUUGGGAAGGUAACGGUUUCACAAGGCAACGAUGGGUAGCCGACCUGAGAGGGUGAUCGGCCACACUGUAACUGAGACACAGUCCAGACACCGACGGGAGGCAGCAGUAGGGAAUCUUCCGCGAUGGGCGAAAGCCUGACGGAGCAACGUCGCGUGAGUGAUGAAGGUCCUCGGAUCGUAAAACUCUGUUAUUAGGGAAGAACAAAUGUGUAAGUAACUAUGCACGUCUUGACGGUACCUAAUCAGAAAGCCACGGCUAACUACGUG